AAAAAUCGCAGCCUUGGGCCGCUACAGGUGUCAAUACAUCCCUGUAGCGGCCCAAGGCUGCGAUCUUU
rnacentral:misc_RNA from 1 species